GCUUAUCACCAUUCCAGAUUGAAUAUACCCGAUCUCGUCUGGUCUCGGAAGUCAAGCAAUCUCGGGCUUGGUUAGUACUUGGAUGGGUGACCGCUUGGGAAUACCAAGUGUGAUAACCA
rfam:Ciona savignyi cont_46994, whole genome shotgun sequence.